AGAGUUUGAUCCUGGCUCAGGAUGAACGCUAGCUACAGGCUUAACACAUGCAAGUCGAGGGGCAGCAUUUCAGUUUGCUUGCAAACUGGAGAUGGCGACCGGCGCACGGGUGAGUAACACGUAUCCAACCUGCCGAUAACUCGGGGAUAGCCUUUCGAAAGAAAGAUUAAUACCCGAUAGUAUAAUGAAACCGCAUGGUCUUAUUAUUAAAGAAUUUCGGUUAUCGAUGGGGAUGCGUUCCAUUAGGCAGUUGGUGAGGUAACGGCUCACCAAACCUUCGAUGGAUAGGGGUUCUGAGAGGAACGGUCCCCCACAUUGGAACUGAGACACGGUCCAAACUCCGUACGGGAGGCA
rnacentral:rRNA from 1 species